rnacentral:rRNA from 1 species
UACGUAGGGUGCAAGCGUUAAUCGGAAUUACUGGGCGUAAAGCGUGCGCAGGCGGUUUUGUAAGUCUGUCGUGAAAUCCCCGGGCUUAACCUGGGAAUGGCGAUGGAGACUGCAAGACUAGAGUCUCGGAGAGGGUCGUGGAAUUCCCGGUGUAGCGGUGAAAUGCGUAGAGAUCGGGAGGAACACCAGCGGCGAAGGCGGCGACCUGGACGAGCACUGACACUCAACAACGAAAGCGUGGGGAGCAAACAGG